rnacentral:lncRNA from 10 species
CUUCAUACCAUGCUUGAAAUGACAAGAUUAUAGACAAGGAGAACACAUGAGUGGAUGCUGGGGUUAGGGGUGGUGUGGAUGUCACCACAAAGGUUGUGCAAGGCGGACCUAGGCGUGAUGGAAUCGUUCUCUUCCCUAGCUGUACGGGUGGCUGCAUGAAUCUAUACAGUGAAAAAAUGACUCAGAAACCACACACAGUGGCCCUCCCUCCGUCUGAGGUUUCUGAGGAGCCUGCGGAUACUGGGAGGGCUGACUGGGGGACUUGAGCACCCUGGGAUUUUGCUGUCCUGGGAGACAGGGUCCUGGAACCAAUCGCCGUGGAUACCAAGGGACUGCUGUGCUCACAUUGUAGCUGCACACGUUUCCUGGCUUAGAUUUGGCACUGUGGUUAUGUAAGAUGUAACCAUGGGAAGAAGCCAAGUGAAGAGUACCCUGGACCACAUCCUGGAAAUCUGUAAUUAUUUGAAAAUACAAAGAGAAGGAAAUGGAAGCAACACAGAGAGGUUCACAGAGAAGUGGUAAAAGAAGCUGCCUGAACCCACGCCGCUGAAUGCCUCAGUCCGGAGCCAGGCUCUAAAUCACUUGCCCUGUGCAUCACCUUCUAGCAUCAAAGACUCAAGAGAAGGCCAGGCACGGUGGCUCACACCUGUAAUCCCAGGACUUUGAGAGGCCGAGGUCAACAGGGUCAAGUUCAAACUCAGCGUGUGAACCGGCUGGCACCUGCUUAGCUUUCUAGCCCCACAUCCUCUCACUCUUGGGUGCCCCCUUUCCCUGGCCAUGCCCACCUGCUUGGAGGUCCUUGAACUUCUCUUCUCCAUGCCUUUUUCAAUGUUCUUCCCUCUGCCUGGAAUGCCUUUACCCCUCUUCCCUCUCCUGACCUAGCCGCUUGCUCCCUGCUGGGGGUUCAAUGACGUCUCCCCAGAAUGCCCAUGUCCUAACCCCCAGAACCUGCGGAUGUGACCUCAUUUGGAAAUAGGGACUUUGCAGAUGGGAUGAAGUUAAAGGUCUCAAGAGGAGAUUAUCCUGGACUUAAGAGGGCCCUAAAUCCAAUGACAGGUGUCCUUCAAAGAGAAAUCAGAGGGAAAUCUGGGACACGGAGACAGAGGCAAAGGCCACGGGAAGACGCUGCAGAGAUGGGAGAGGCACAUCCUCAAGGCCGGGAGUACUGAAGUGGCCGGCUGCCAUCGGAAGCCGGGAGAGAGGCGCCGGGCAGAUUCUCCCUCGAAGCCCGGAGAGAGGCACGGGUUGGAUUCUCCCUUAGAGCCUCCGGAAUGACCCAGCCGUGUCAACACCUUGGUUUUGGCUUUCUGGCCUCCAGAACAGUGUGAAUGCAUGACUGUUGUUUCAAACCACUUGGUGUGUGGGCAUUUGUUAACAGCAGCCACAGAAACUCAUACUCAGAAACUUUGCUCAAACGUUGCCUCCUCUGGGAAGGCCGCCCUGACUCCUCAUCUCGACUGGAGGCCCAGAUCCCAGUAUGACCCUCUCCUACCUCUUACCUCGGUGGCCAUGAUCAGCGACGCACCUGUGUGGCUUCACUCCAGAACGUAAACUGAAGGGCGGGAUUCCCUAACGGCUUAGAUUACAGCAGCCUCUCCCAGAGAAGUCCACAGUCUAACAGGCCUCGCAGCUGUCAACAAAAGAUGGUUCUGUAAUGGUGGAACUUCAGGCAGCUCACAGGGGCCUGCAGGAAGGAUGUUUUGGGGGCUGGGCUCCUUUUCACUCAGGCUCCUACUCCAGGUGUCUGCACGGGAAGAACCUCUGUGGGGGCUGUAAGAUCAGGUUUGUCCUGAAAGACAGUCACCUGAAAUGAACCCACCUGCCUUCUCUUUGGACCAACUUACUGAUAUCUGUGAGAAUGUUCUAGAAAAAAGGCUCAGGGUGCGAGCUUAUACUGGCAACUCAGAUGGAAAGCAACCUGGGAGGGAAUGUGGCCACAUCCGAAUAACCAAAGUCCAAAGGGAUUAUUAUUAUUAUUAUUAUUAUUAUUUUUCUGAGACAGGGUCUUGCUUUGGCAUCCAGGCUGGAGUGCAGUGGCACAAUCAUGGCUCACUGCAGCCUCGACCUCCUGGGCUCAAGCGAUCCUCUCACCUCAGCCUCCUGUGCUGGGACCUGAAGUUGUGCACCACCAUGCCUGAUUUUUUUUUCUUUUUUUUAAGAGACAGAGUCUCACUUUGUUGCCCAGGCUGGCCUUGAACUCCUGGGCUCAAGCAAUCCUCCCACCUCAUUCUCCCAAAGUGCUGGGAUUAUAGGCAUGAGCCAUCAUGCCCGGCCCAAAGGGAUGAUUUAGUUAAGUUUGCCCUUACGGAAAAAGCUGCUUUCAGGGUCCUUGGAUGGCGGGAGGUGCUUUGUCUCCAGCAGGCCUGGAGGGGCCCACAGGCUUGCCCACUAGUUUCCAGCGUCCCGGUGCCCCGUCUUGCAGUGGGGACCCAAAGCACCCAGGGGCCCAUCCCGCAGCCAUGCUUUGAGACCCUGUUUGCUGUCAGGAGGGACAGAGUCCUCUCAGCCUCUGGCCACCCCUGCUCCCUGUGGCUGUGGAACCGUCCCCAGGUGGUUAGAGAGGUGGCCGCAACUGAGAAAUUGCUUCCUCAAUACAGGAGAACUUGUGCUGCAAGAGAGAAAACUCCAGACAGGGGUUCAGAGAAGUGGGGCUGGCCUCCUUCUGUUCCUGGAAGAGUGGGAGAACGGGAGGUGGGGCUCUGAUGUCCCAACAACCUGCCCCGCCAGUUUCCAGCUGUGAGGCCGUGGGGAGAUUGCCACAUACUCCCGUCUUCCUCAUAUUCCAUCCACACGUGGGUAAUAAAACCACCUAGUGAGGAGGAGGUGACAGUGCAGUCAGGAUCUUUUGAUGGUGAUGGUUGCUCAUGCAGCAAGAUCACAGAGCUACACACACGUGCAAAGACACACACACACGCACGCACACACACACCCGUGCAGAGUGGGACACAGAUGAGUAUGCUCCAUGGAGAUUGCCAGCGUCACCUUCCCGGUUUUGAUGUCAUGUCGUAACCGUGUGAGAUGUUACCAUGGGGGAGGAGGGGUGGAGGGACCAGGACCUCCCUGUAUAUUUCUUUGCAUGUCUUGUAAAUUUAUCAGAAUUUCAAAGCAAGAAGUUUUUUUAAAAAAAUUCUUUAAAGAAAAAAAUCCAGCCAAAUGACCUUAGUAUAAAAUACAAUUUGACUUUGACAAUUAAUGGCAAUAAAAGGGAACAAAUUUGUUCUUCUUUCAGAGCCAAGUCUUGAACCCCAUCAGCCCAGGGCCACAGCCCCUCGCCACUCCUUCACACGGCUCAUCACGUGGCCCCAUCUGCCCCGACUGGUUCCCGCUGGGUUUCUGUCAUCGUCACCAAAGUGCAGUGGUCAUCCAGCCUCUCAGCGCCUUUGAGUCCCUGGCUGGGGUCUUCAGUGACCCUUCUGUGUUUCUUUGCCUCCCAGCCUUGUAAGUUUCCUGACCGUUUUCACACCCUCAUCUCAUCUGGUCCUAUGGAAGGCACGGCAGAUGUUACCCCCCGUUUCAAAGCAGUGGAAACUGAGGAUCAGGGUGGCUAAGCUCUUUGUCCAGGGAUACGCAGCUAAGGACCAGUAGGGCCACCAUGGAACUCAGCUCCAGUCCAGAGCACUCCAACAACCUGAGGCAGCCGGGUGUCUGCUCAGAUUUCAGCUCAGGAGAGAGACACUGUCAUCUGUCUCCAAAACAGUCAGGUCCAAGGGAGGAUCUCAAGGGGAAACUGUACUAGGUUCAAAGCCAAAAACAUACAGCUGCUUCCCAGACCAGACGGGCCAGGCACACACCAUCUGCCUGCGAUCACUGAUCCAUCUGUGUCUCUCCUCCCGUGCAGGGAGGAAGCAGGAAAGGCCAGGGAGGAGGGAAGGGAGGCUCUUUAGCCAUCCCAGGGGCAGCAUGAUGAAGGGGAGAGCCCCUGGGAAUCAGCAGGCCAUGGUUCAAAUCCCUGCUUCUCCAUGUACUGUGUCCCACUAGACUAUAGGCAGCAGGGGCGGUUUCUAGGCUGUUCCAGGCUGGAACAGCGACAGGCAGCAGACACCACAACUCAUGUGCAACUUUAUACACAAUUAAAAGAAAAAGCACAACUAACCAGUCUGAUAUUAUAAUGCUUUCACCUUAAAAAAUAUUAGAGUUAAUUUUUUUAAUUUAAACUUUUUGUGGGUACAUGUGGAAACAAAAUGAGUUCACUGUAGGGGUAUGGAUUUGUUUCCGGGUUCUCUAUUCUGUUCCAUUGGUCUAUGUGUCUAUUUUUAUGCUAGUACCACGUUGUUUUGGUUACUAUGGCUCUGUAGUAUGAUAUGAAGUCAGGUAAAGUGAUUCUUCC